GGGCUGUGCGUGCGGCUGUGCGUGGGGCUGCGCCCACACCGCUCAGGAGCAGCGCUGGGCGAGACUCACCUCCCUGCACGGGGAUGAAGAACAUCAUAAUAUGUUUGAAGCAAAGAACUGCAGAUAGGGAGAUUUUCAAAAAGCCAUUUGUUUACCUGGGUGAGGCAUUCAGACCAAAAGCGAAGGGUUAUUCAGGAAAGAACUCAAGCAUGUGGCUACAGCACUGGAGCAGACCCAUUCAGCCUCAGCUCGCAGCAGCACAGCUAGGGGUGCAGUGGGGUUCAUCAGGCCAGCACCUCCUCCUGGAGCUGAGCACAAGCCUGCACUCCUGGAUCAUGCCAUCCUGGCCAUUUAUUUGCCUGAAACUUAAACCUAUGCACUUCUCCUGGUGGUUGCAAAGUUUGCCACGCUCUGUCAAGCCUGCAGCGAUUACUUAUGGGCCACAGAUGGAUGCCUCAGCUCACUGGAGAGAUGUGUCCUGUAAUGCAUGCUGCUUGUUCACAGCUGAUCCCGAAAGAAGCUGACAUAAGGGCAUCAAGGAGCAUAAUUUUCCAGAAAUGCACUCCCUGCAUUUCUGACUGAAAGGGUAUGUGCAGAGUGGUUCACUGUGGCAGAGACUGAAGUGUUUGAGAGGUUUGUACUCCAGCCUGCUAUUAACUAUUGGUAGCACUGACUGCAGGGCUGCAGGCAGUGCAUGCUUUUAGCUUGAAUUUUCACUUCUUCAUUCUGGAAGGAAGAAUGGGAGAAAUGUUCUGGGUGCAAAUUCCGUGUGUGUCUCACGCCAUCUGCUAAUAGCAUGUGUGAGCUGCUCUACUGCCAGAAACCAGGAACAAAGAUAACAUCACUGCAGAGAGAACUGCCCUGCUCCCAAGUGAGGCUCGUACUGCAGGAAGCUACCGCUGGUCCUGAGCACAUUCACCAGAGUCUUGAGAGUCUGCUGUGCCACAGCUGGAUGCUCAUCCAUCUGAGAACCAGGCUUUUCUCUGCCUUUCCACAGCCUGCAAUGCAGUCAGGAAGCAAAGGAUACUAAGGGAUGUUAGCAGCUGCCAAACUGCCAGAGUUACCACAAGGCCUGACGACACGCUGCUGCUGCACCAGGCAGGACGGGACGGCGGGCUUGUCUGCACUGCUGGAAAGCAAGCAGCCAGGAACGGGCAUGCACAAGCAACCUGCAGAGCUCGGUGACCACAUUUCUUUGGUGUCUGCUGCCCAGCUGGAAAAGAGGUGUGCCUCUCAGAGUGUGCAGCCCUGAGGACCACAGAGGGAGGUGGGAGCAGCACCGUGGAAGGCAGGUAUACAAAACCCCACAGAGGAAUUGCAUUUUCCUACUCCUCAUUUGUUAUUCUACAUGGUAAUGUAUUAAUUCCUUCACUAAACUCCUUUGAUUAUUUUUAUUACCCUCCUGAUGUCACUCUGAAUAUUACUGUUAUCCUUAUAAAUACACAAACCCCUUUCUGAAGAAUUUUAGCCAUCCAACCAACAUGCCCUGUGACCUUGAAGUCAGUACACUCAAUUCAUCAGUUGAAUUGAAAAUAACUGAGCUUUGGGUGAAAAAUUCACUACGUAUCCCUAAGGCUCAUACAUUUGGUAUGGUUUAAGGUGUAAGUAAGUGUGCAUAAAAUGAAUAUCAUUCUAAUGGGCUUUGUAUUUUCUUAGAUGGAACUUGACGAUGUUGGCAAUACGUCUCCAUGCAAAAAAACAAAGGUGUGUUUAUAAAGGCAUGUGCCAGGUUAAAGAGACAAAUGCUGUAUCAUACAGAGGUUUACAUUAAAGAGAGGAAUUACUUCACUAUGGGUAUAUGUGAAGGCCCACACUCCAUCUUGCAAACCUUGCAAGGGUUUGUCCAGGCGGAAAGAGCCCUGCAGAUGCCCCAGGCUUGGCCAGGAGCGCCCAGCUUUGCCAGCAACAGCCUGGCAUGCUGCUGCUGGCAGGGCCUCAUCUGCCCGGUGAGCUGCACGGGCAGCAGCAGUGCAGUAGAUAUUGGAGAUACUGCUCUGAGGGAAGCACCUGCAAGGCCACCACUGCUCCAUAUGGGUCUGCUGGGGGCAGGAGUAGCAGCAGACAAGAGGGCAUGCAACAUGGGCCCCAGCUGCAGUGUUUGAAGGCCUGGAAACAGGAAUGCAUCCAUUCUCCUCCAGUUUAAUACAAAACUCCUGAUCCUCAAGAAUACCAGCUGUGAGUUGACGUUAAUGUCAGUGAAUAGCAAAUAGUCCCCUGACACCAAUCUGGAUCACGUUUCAUUGCAGAAGGAUUGUCUUCAAAUAGACUGCCACUGGUUCUAUGUUUAGGACCUAUUUUCCAUGCUCGCUGAUAGUGUCCUGCUUCUUUCCAAAGCUACAUAACCUCAGUGUCCUGGCUAGCUUUGGGCCCAGCCCCUUAAGUCACACUCCCUUGAAUAAGCCUUAUCCAUGAAUACAGUGAGUCUCAUGUCAUGACAAAAAGCUUUAAUAAAACGAUGUUCUGGGAGCACAAUGAAAAGCCAAUCUAAUCAGUACCCAGCUAAGGCAGGGAUGAAUGCACGAUAGGCAGCUUUUUUACAUUUAUCACCAGGCCCUAACAGCCCCAAAAUAACCACACAUGUUGAGUAACCAACAAGAAGAAGCCAAUUUCUGAAGACCUACCUAGAUAACAUAGUUCUUCUUUUCAGUACAUAAAUCCUGAAUAGGACUCUGGAAUCAUGAAAAUAAUUAGGGUGAUGAUAACAAUAAAUUUAAAAUAUUUUCCAGACAAGAAGCUGAGAAAGUCUCUAGGGAGGUCUUUUGGUGGACUUCAUAAAUCUUAACACCGUUUUUAAUUAAGUAUUAGUUAUUUCAUAAUCCACAUUGUUUACUUAGCAACUGCUUUGGUAUUGAGUAUGCUAUCCUGGGAACAUACAUUUUUGCCAUAGGCCAGGAUCACAAAACACUAUUUGAAUCAUCUGUCAUCCCCAGUCUGCCUACGUUGUUAUUCUAUAGCUGCAGAUCGCAAGAUGAUGAACAAUGCUGGAUAUUCAUCAACCUUAUUUCAAACAUGGAGUAACUAUGAUGUAAUGAGAUUAAGAAAUCUGCUUGAUGCCAUUAAAUGAAUUAGCAGCCAUACAAAGAUUAGAAAACAUUUCCCUAUUCCUGGCUCUGCUCGUAAUCCACUGGACACGAACGCCCGAACCACUUCUUACUGCCAUUCGCAGUUUCAGCAAAGGGGUGCACUGAAGGAGGCAUUAAUUCACUCCUCAGGGCUUUUUAAGAGACUUUUAAGUGACCGAAAGAGGACUUCAGAUGCUUCAAAGAAGAGAGAACGAUGGCACUAUGGUGUCACUUCGGGGACUGAAAUUCAGUCUGCAAAAGCUCAUACAAAUUCAAAAGAAGGAGAAUCGUGUUUAUGCAGAGCUGAGGCUCUGUGCAUAUAGAAGUGUGGGUUUUGGUAGACGUUGUGAGCUUCAGGAGGCCGUUGAAGGGAAUAAAGCACAAAUAUACAGCCAUGAUAUUUUACGAUGUUUCCUUUCUUAGGCCUUUUUGGGGGUUAUCAAAUCUUUGGUGGAUAUUUGGCAUAUGGUUAAGUAAACUCAGGAGGAAAACCUAAAGGUAAGAAAUUGAAGCAACUGAUUAUGCAAAUUCUAAACUUUUCACAGUUAUCCACUGAGGACUGCUUAGGUCCUUUGUGUUACCAGAAGUCCUGCAGUCAGGACGUACACAGCCUCUUUAUGACUUCCACGUGAUAGUGCAGUUGUUCCAGAUGGAUAUCAAUUCAAUUAAGAGCAAAGAGUGAUUUGAGCUAUAUUCAGUGAAUUUGGAAGUACCGUUGACAUCAAAUUGCUUUGCCUCUGGUGGGUUUUUUUAAGCACCCACACAAGUCACUAUGUUUAAUUUUUAAAAAACCCUUAUAAAUACAACAUAUGAAGGAAAACACUGCUAGAUUAUUCUCUUCUUCUUGGUUUAGAACCUUUGACAGUAAGCUUACAAUUCUAACACAUCACUGACGUCCAUGCCUUCCAAGACAUUCUGGAACUUUCUCUUUGCAACACAGCAUGGAGGAGGCUGAGGAUAAGUGGUUGCAAGUUUACACAUUAUAAGAGAUGUGAUGUGAGCUUGUAAUUCAGGUUCUGUGUCAUCUGUGGGAAAAACCAUAGAAUGCUCAUCUCUACUCCUUGCACACACCCAGAUGUGGUAUCAGAUUCUGAUCUCUUUAAUCAUUAAAACUUUUCAUUAUUAUUUGAAUCAGCGUGUUGUCUGGAGAUUCAUUGCAGAACAGAACGUUACUAUGCUGUGUGUUCCCAUCUCCUUCUGCCCUGCACUGGUAAAUGCCUGAAAGACUUCAGUUAUUACGUGAUAUUCCAUGUAAACCUGACUUCAAAAGUAAAUGAAGGAUUGUCUUGCAGUCACGCUCCUACCACCAGCACUCUGUUAGAAAGCUUUUUCUUUUACAGCUGAGUGGGCAACUGCUGCAAGUGGAGCUCCU
ensembl:lncRNA